GCUAACGUCCGUCGUGAAAAGGGAAACAACCCAGACCCACAGCUAAGGUCCCCAAAUUACCGCUCAGUGGAAAACGAUGUGGGAAGGCACAGACAGCCAGGAGGUUGGCUUAGAAGCAGCCAUCCUUUAAAGAAAGCGUAAUAGCUCACUGGUCGAGUCGGCCUGCGCGGAAGAUUUAACGGGGCUAAGCGGUAUACCGAAGCUUGGGGUGCAUCACUUCGGUGAUGCGCGGUAGAGGAGCGUUCCGUAAGCCGUUGAAGGUGGAUCGUAAGGUCUGCUGGAGGUAUCGGAAGUGCGAAUGCUGACAUGAGUAACGAUAAUGCGGGUGAAAAGCCCGCACGCCGAAAGCCCAAGGUUUCCUUGCGCAACGUUAAUCGGCGCAGGGUGAGUCGGCCCCUAAGGCGAGACCGAAAGGUGUAGUCGAUGGGAAGCUGGUUAAUAUUCCAGCACCUCGCGUGACUGCGAUGGGGGGACGGAGAAGGUUAGGUGUACCGGGCGUUGGUUGUCCCGGGGAAAGGCGGUAGGCAUGAGGCGCAGGCAAAUCCGCGUCUCUUUAUGCCGAGCACCGAGACGAGCCCUAUCGGGCGAAGUCACUGAUACCACGCUUCCAGGAAAAGCCUCUAAGCUUCAGGUCACGCAGACCGUACCGUAAACCGACACAGGUGGGCAGGAUGAGAAUUCUCAGGCGCUUGAGAGAACUUGGGUGAAGGAACUAGGCAACAUGGCACCGUAACUUCGGGAGAAGGUGCGCCCACCAGGGUGGCCACAUGCGUGGCUGAGCCCCGGCGGGCCGCAGAAACCAGGCCGCUGCGACUGUUUAUCAAAAACACAGCACUCUGCAAACACGAAAGUGGACGUAUAGGGUGUGACGCCUGCCCGGUGCCGGAAGGUUAAUUGAUGGGGUCAGCCGCAAGGCGAAGCUCUUGAUCGAAGCCCCGGUAAACGGCGGCCGUAACUAUAACGGUCCUAAGGUAGCGAAAUUCCUUGUCGGGUAAGUUCCGACCUGCACGAAUGGCGUAACGACAGCGGCGCUGUCUCCACCCAAGACUCAGUGAAAUUGAAAUCGCUGUGAAGAUGCAGCGUUCCCGCGGCAAGACGGAAAGACCCCGUGAACCUUUACUACAGCUUUACAUUGAACGUUGAGUUCGUCUGUGUAGGAUAGGUGGGAGGCUGCGAAGUGCGGACGCCAGUUCGCAUGGAGCCAUCCUUGAAAUACCACCCUGAUGUGCUUGACGUUCUAACCUGGGCCCGUUAUCCGGGUCGGGGACCAUGUAUGGUGGGUAGUUUGACUGGGGCGGUCUCCUCCCAAAGAGUAACGGAGGAGCACGAAGGUACGCUCAGCGCGGUCGGACAUCGCGCACUGUGUGCAAAGGCAUAAGCGUGCUUGACUGCAAGAUCGACGGAUCAAGCAGGUACGAAAGUAGGUCUUAGUGAUCCGGUGGUUCUGUAUGGAAGGGCCAUCGCUCAACGGAUAAAAGGUACUCCGGGGAUAACAGGCUGAUACCGCCCAAGAGUUCAUAUCGACGGCGGUGUUUGGCACCUCGAUGUCGGCUCAUCACAUCCUGGGGCUGUAGUCGGUCCCAAGGGUAUGGCUGUUCGCCAUUUAAAGUGGUACGCGAGCUGGGUUCAGAACGUCGUGAGACAGUUCGGUCCCUAUCUGUCGUGGGCGUUGGAGAUUUGAGAGGGGCUGCUCCUAGUACGAGAGGACCGGAGUGGACGACCCCCUGGUGUUCCGGUUGUCAUGCCAAUGGCACGGCCGGGUAGCUAUGGUCGGAAGCGAUAACCGCUGAAAGCAUCUAAGCGGGAAGCGCGCCUCAAGAUGAGAUCUCCCGGGGCACAAGCCCCCUGAAGGAACCAUCAAGACCAGGUGGUUGAUAGGCUGGGUGUGUAAGCAGGGCAACCUGUUGAGCUGACCAGUACUAAUGAUCCGUGCGGCUUGAUCAU
rnacentral:rRNA from 1 species